CAGCAGGUGAUCCUUGCAGCCAUUCCAACUGCAAUUCGGUCGCACACAACCCCCUCUUCCUGCAAGGCUACAUACACUCCACUACUCGGGGCAGAACUCGCCGUUGGAUAAAAUCUCACCGAAGCCCCUUGAAGCUAUCGUUAGAGUUUGAGUUUUCGAUCUCAAAUUAAGGCUCGUCAUCCAACGGAUCUCCGUUUAGUCUUUUAUAAUUAUCCACAACCAUUUUAAUCCCGUUUGUUUCAACAGUUUCACUGCAUACCGCUCUGCCGUCAAAGGUUACCUACCGGUGCACCCUAUCAUCAAGUCGAUGGAAAGACUCAAAAACAACAACUGGCGAUGAUUCAAUAGAGGUGUUUUUUGCUCUUGGCACACUUCACCUUUUCUACCAGCCGCUUUCCAGGUAUCCUGUGUGUGUACCAGGGCCGUGCCUUGGUUAAGCGGUGAAGCUGAUGCAGACUAAAGGAUACUUUUACCCUCAACGAUUUGAAAGGGCGGAGCAGCGCGUGCUCGUAGGUUUGGUAGCUCGCGAUGCAUUGUUAAUGAAAAAUAAAAAAAAAAUGCAAUGAAGGGCGGAGCAACCCGGUUUCUACUGAAACAACAUCUGUAAUAAUAAGGAAUAAAUAGCCAUAUGCAAGUAGACGGCCCAGCUCCGCCAAGGAGGGUACAUCUCUUACCUUACUAGGUUCAGGGAGCAUUCUAUCUCAAUCCAAAUAUGAG
rnacentral:sRNA from 1 species